UCUGCUCUCUCAGCUCGACCUAGAACCCGCGAAACUGAAAAACUCAAACACCGGCCUCUCUCCUUCUCAUCAGCUCUCUCAGAUCUUGAUUCUCACUCUCUCCUUCAUCUUCUCACUCUCUCGAUUCUUCUUCUUAAUCUCUCAUUCUUCUUCUUAGUCUCUACUUCAUCCUUCACGUCAGGAUUAAUGGAGACUCGAAUAGGAUGCGAUGGCCUUGCAUUACCGUCAUUUAGGCUUAUAUCAAUUGCGAGUAUGAGGGAAAAAAAGAAGAAAGAAAAACGAUAAAACUAGAUCCAUAUCUGGUUUCCUCUCUUAUUCUCUUCCUCUCAUCACAGGGCAGACACGUAGAGAACCUCCUUCCAUAGCCUUUCCUAUAGUCUUCCUCUCAGGUGAUUCAGGGGUGGGCUAUGACAUCUGGAUACCGGCCAACAUCAACCCUAAAUUGCUCUUCUAGUGGAUUGAAGAACUGGUUCCCUUGGCUGCGUUUGAGUGUUCACAGGCACAAGGUGUUUAAUUCAGAAAUUGGAGGUGUUUCUAGAGUAAUAGAAGGGACUGUGGUGUUCUGAAUUGUGGCUUUGGUGGGUUUGGCGAGAGUGAGGAUCGCAGAUUCUAUGCAAAGAAGUUUUGCUGUGAUUUUCAUGCCACUGU